UACGAAGGGGGCUAGCGUUGCUCGGAAUCACUGGGCGUAAAGGGUGCGUAGGCGGGUCUUUAAGUCAGGGGUGAAAUCCUGGAGCUCAACUCCAGAACUGCCUUCGAUACUGGCGACCUUGAGUCCGGGAGAGGUGAGUGGAACUCCGAGUGUAGAGGUGAAAUUCGUAGAUAUUCGGAAGAACACCAGUGGCGAAGGCGGCUCACUGGCCCGGUACUGACGCUGAGGUGCGAAAGCGUGGGGAGCAAACAGG
rnacentral:rRNA from 1 species